rnacentral:rRNA from 1 species
CCUACGGGAGGCAGCAGUAGGGAAUUUUCCACAAUGGGCGAAAGCCUGAUGGAGCAAUACCGCGUGCAGGAUGAAGGCCUUCGGGUCGUAAACUGCUUUUAUGUGCGAAGAAUUUGACGGUAACACAUGAAUAAGGAUCGGCUAACUACGUGCCAGCAGCCGCGGCCAUACGUAGGAUCCAAGCGUUAUCCGGAAUUACUGGGCGUAAAGAGUUGCGUAGGUGGCAUUAUAAGUGGAGCGUGAAAGCGUGCGGCUCAACCGCAUUAUUGCGUUCCAAACUGUGAAGCUUGAGUAUGGGAGAGGUAGAUGGAAUUUCUAGUGUAGGAGUGAAAUCCGUAGAUAUUAGAAGGAACACCGAUGGCGUAGGCAGUCUACUGGCCCAUUACUGACACUAAGGCACGAAAGCGUGGGGAGCAAACGGGGAUUAGAUACCCCGGUAGUCCACGCUGUAAACUAUGGAUGCUAGCUGUGACACACAUCGACCUGUGUCGUAGCGAAGUUAACGCGUUAAGCGACUCCGCCGUCGGGAGGUACGGUCGGCGAGUAAGUAAACGUACGUUAAAGAAGUAGUUACGGACGUGAGACGNGCCGACGGACGACGACGAGGGAGGAGG